AGUAAAUAGAUACCCUGGUAGUCCACGCCCUAAACGAUGAUCACUGGGUGUUCGGGGAGCGAUCUCUGAGUAACCGUAAGCUAAACGCGUGAAGUGAUCCGCCUGGGGAGGUACGGUCGCAAGAUUAAAACUACAAAGGAAUUGACGGGGACCCGCACAAGCGGUGGAUGAUGUGGAUUAAUUCGAUGCAACGCGAACAACCUUACCUACCCUUGACAUGUCCGGAAGCCCGGUGAGAGCUGGGGGUGCCCGAAAGGGAACCGGAACACAGGUGCUGCAUGGCUGUCGUCAGCUCGUGUCGUGAGAUGUUGGGUUAAGUCCCGCAACGAGCGCAACCCUUGUCCCUAGUUGCUACGCAAGGGCACUCUAGGGAGACUGCCGGUGACAAACCGGAGGAAGGUGGGGAUGACGUCAAGUCCUCAUGGCCCUUAUGGGUAGGGCUUCACACGUCAUACAAUGGUCGGUACAGAGGGUUGCCAAGCCGCGAGGUGAGCCAAUCCCGGAAAGCCGAUCGUAGUCCGGAUCGCAGUCUGCAACUCGACUGC
rnacentral:rRNA from 1 species